rnacentral:misc_RNA from 1 species
GGGGCAUCAGGUAGCAACAAUA